CCAGCCCGGAGUUCGGAGUUGUCCGUCUGCUGAGAAGUAAGAUCGUUUGCGACAAAAUUGUCUCAUUAACUGUCAAUUUAUGUUUUUGUUUCACAAUCAGAUAAUAAUCAAGACAUCUAUGUGACUUGAAAGAAAUAUCCCGAAAUUAAUGGUAAUUGUGAUAGAAACGAAAGCGGAAGUAAUAAAAAGUGGAAAUCCCGAUGAUCACCCUACUCAUCGAAGGUGGAGACAGCGCAAUGGAACCAGUCUUUACUUGAGAAUUGCAAACGUUUAGAAGGGCGAAGUCAAAGGUCAAGUUGAUAUAACACCAGAAAUCAGACGAGGUGACACGGACAAACAACUUAACUUUGUCAGCGGAACAGUGCAUCUUCCCUAAGAUGAUUGAGAUAGGUCAAGUCAAAGAUCAAGUGUUAAUGUAACACCAGGUAACUGCUCCUUGAGACAGCCCAGUGAAACAAGUCGACCUUGUCAGUGGAGUAGUCAAACUUCUCUGGGGAAUUCAUAAAAAUACAAGUCGAAGAGCAUUGUCGGACA